AUACGGAGGAUCCGAGCGUUAUCCGGAUUUAUUGGGUUUAAAGGGUGCGCAGGCGGCCAUUUAAGUCAGCGGUUAAAUCGUGGGGCUCAACCCCAUUCUGCCGUUGAUACUGGGUGGCUUGAUUGCGGUCGAGGUUGGCGGAAUUCGUUGUGUAGCGGUGAAAUGCAUAGAUAUGACGAAGAACACCGAUUGCGUAGGCAGCUGACCAGACCGCAAAUGACGCUCAUGCACGAAAGUGCGGGGGUCGAACAGGAUUAGAUACCCUGGUAGUCCGCACAGUAAACGAUGAAUACUUGUUUUCGGCGAUAUAAUGUCGGAGGCAAAGCGAAAGCGAUAAGUAUUCCACCUGGGGAGUACGCCGGCAACGGUGAAACUUAAAGGAAUUGGCGGGG
rnacentral:rRNA from 1 species